CCUACGGGGUGCAGCAGUGGGGAAUAUUGCACAAUGGACGCAAGUCUGAUGCAGCGACGCCGCGUGCAGGAUGGAGGCUUUCGGGUUGUAAACUUCUUUUUAGGGGGAGGAGCAGCAGACGGUAGCCCUUGAUUAAGCAACGGCUAACUAAGUGCCAGCAUCCGCGGUAAUACGUAGGUGGCAAGCGUUGUCCGGAUUUACUGGGUGUAAAGGGCGUGCAGCCGGGAAGACAAGUCAGAUGUGAAAUCCCACGGCUCAACGGCGGCACGGCAUUUGGUACUGUCGUUCUUGAGUGUGGGAGAGGGAAUUGGAAUUCCUGGUGUAGCGGUGGAAUGCGUAGAUAUUAGGAAGAACACCAGUGGCGAAGGCAGAUUUCUGGACGACUACUGACGGUGAGGCGCGAAAGCGUGGGGAGCAAACAGGAUUAGAUACCCCAGUAGUC
rnacentral:rRNA from 1 species